AAAGGAUGCAGUACUAGAACUC
rnacentral:misc_RNA from 1 species